GGAGAGGUGCGAGAGUGGUUUAAUCGGGCGGUCUCGAAAACCGUUGUUCCCGCAAGGGAACCGUGGGUUCGAAUCCCACCCUCUCCG
rnacentral:tRNA from 1 species